GGACAGAUGGCCGAGCUGGUUAUGGCGCCAGGUUAAGGUAACUUAACAUUAAUUCCUGGUCACGAAAGUGGCGUGGGUUCGAGUCCCACUCUGUUCA
rnacentral:tRNA from 1 species